rnacentral:lncRNA from 1 species
GUCGUAAAAGGGGACGCGGAGGAGAAGGAAAGUCGCUCAAGCAGUGGACAGAGCGGAGAAAGCGACUUCGGGUUGGUUGAAGGUUCAGCCUGAGAAAACUCCUGAGCAUGUGCGAAAAAGAAAAGAAGAAAAGAAAAGUAAAGAAAAGAAAAAAGGAAAAAGGGCAAGCUCCUGAGUGGAUCUCUCAGGGAGCCACCAGACAGCCGCAGAGAGAAGAAGCUGCCCAAGAAUGGAAAGGAAGAAAUAUAUCACAUCAUCUGUCUGUCCACAGGCUUUCCUUGGGGCUUAUGAAGUGAAUGAAGGAGGGAAGAAAGGAGAGACAGAGAAAAUAUGGAUUUCCUCAUGGUUGUGAUUCCUCUUCACUCUUUUGAAUUUGGAAGGAUGGCAUACACAUCUGAAAAAUACCACUACUUCCUUCAUUGGACUGCAAGGUAUUUCUGUUUGGAAAAGUAAUGGAGUCCAGUCAACUUCAUUGAUCGCCAAGGACUGUCAAAAUUAUAAAACUUGCUGUGGAGCUCUGACAUGCCAGAAGCCGCUAGAAAAAGAAGUUUGACAUUCAGAAACUUAUCAAGAGGUUCUACUCUUUGGAUAGAGACCAAAAUCAUACUUUGAAUGAUAUGCAAUGCAAGACUCCCAAGAUUCUGGGCAGUGGCAGGGAGGUGCAGCUUCUAGUCUGCCGCAUGAUCACAAUGUCAGCUGGUCCCUCUUCUCAGGUGUAGAUCACCUAUUAUAAUUUUACCUAAUUUUGAUACUCUGAUAAGGAAAGUCCCAGGACUUAUCAGCUGGGAUAGGCCUCACUUACAAGACAGCUCUGUUCAGUAUUUGGAAGAAAGCCUGACAGGUUUCUUCGGAAAAGUGGCCAUCCAUGGAAUGAAUGAAAUGUUCUCUUUCUAUUCCAGGGAUUGCAGUGGCAAAGCUAGGCUAGGUCUUGGAGGCUGGUGUAAGGCGAUGUGGGUGAAGGCAGGAGGCUGAUGGAAAGACUGGGGGGAAGAAAAGCCGAAAUGGAUUCACGGUGCCUUGGAUGAAGGACGAGAGGGGAACUGCAAGCUCCUUCAACUGGUUCUGUCCGGUGAGAAGUGAUCAAGCUUGGGCUGACAAGAGGCUCAGGGAGCCCUCACGUUCUUUCGCUUUUUUACCUGCCAAUCAAACUGCUACAAGACAACACCCUGAUCUGGCAUGGACAUCGCGGGUCCAAGCCUGUAGCCCCAAAUCGGAUAAUCUCUGCAGCUGAUAACAAGCAAAAGAGAAGCCAGGCAACAGCCAUAUUAAAGAAGAAAACAAUCAACUCUGAGGAAGAAAUGUAAUGAAUUGAGUGCUGUCAGAGAUGUCUUCUGUUUGAACAAUCUGCGAUGGGCUGAAUGGCAGGGACUCCCUCAUCCAGUGCAGAUCCAACUUAGAAAUAAUGUUUCAUUCAAGAUAAGGCUCGUGGCUUAGGAGAUUGUGACCUGGCUUGCAUCAUUCUAAGACUUCUAUCGUCUGUUUUCAAAACCCAAGGAGGACCUCCUUUUCUGUGUGAUAGUUCCUCAUGCUUUGCCAGCCACUGGGUCUUUAAGGAAGCUUGCCAAGAGUUCCCGGCUGGGAAGGACAGUUCGAGUUCAUCAUAGACAAUGAGCUGGCACCACAGUUUAAGUGACUCACCAACCUGGUUGCCCACUUCAAAAUGUCAAGAACCACACUAUCUAAUUGAAAGAACUGUGUUUUAGCAAAGUGUAAUUGGAUCGCCUGGCAAGAUCAUCUCAAACUAUGUCUCUGACCUUGCCUUUCAGUGGCUAUUUUGAGCACAAGAGGAGAAAGGAAAUGAUUCCUGAAUUAUAUCUUGUUUUUAAAAAUUAAGAUUAAUUAAUACUUGGUUUUAUGUUCAUUCCAUUGUAGGAACUUAGUGAUUAUUACAAAACAGUCAAAAUAGGUCAUAGCAAAAUGAACGUUUAAGAUUAGGUUAAAACAUUCCUCUGAAAUUUUAGUAUUCACUUUUGAAGUGUCAAUUACUAUAUUUCUGUAAUUUCUCAUUUUUUUCUUGGCUUAGAGUCAAGAUGAAAAAUGAUAUUUGAAUCAAAGACAUUGUUUUGUUAUAUAGCCACUCCUUUCUAAAAUGCAAAUCCACCCUCCCCUCACCAAUGCUUUAUUCUUUGUGCGCGCACACACACACACACACACACACACACACACACACACACACAGACAUACACAGAACCAGCACCCAAAUGGUAGAGGAGGUCCUUCCAAGACUUCUAGGACCUGGAUCAUGUAAGCAGUAGAUGAGAAAAUGAAGUAAGAGAUAUAGAGUAAUAACAAUAAAAGUCAAUGAUUUCAUUUUACAAAAAAGUCAUUGUGUAGUACUCAGAUAUUUUUAAGAGCAAGUAUUAUUAUGACUAAAGUAUAUUAUACUUCUAAAUUAUUAUGAUUCUCAUCUAAUUUCAAGCCACACAUAGGCGCCAUUUGAAAGCAUUUUGUGUUACAACCUAUCAACAAAAAUCAACUAAUAGUUUUAUAACGUGCAUAGGUUUACCCCAUGGGGAAUUAAAAUUUUUAUCUGCAAGUAUUUCUGUUGUUGUGAGACUUUAGGACAAGACAACAUUUGGUGUUAACAUAGAAGAAUAUUCUAUGGCUUUUUUAGCUUUAAAGUUCAUUACUCUAAAAUAAAGUACACGUGGUAUUUUUUUCUUCCUAGUGUUCUCUUAUUAUAUGUAGAGUAUUUUCGGUUGUUGUUUUUAACGUAUACAUUAUUUUUAUUAAGUCAUUUCAUAAAAGAUAAGAUAUAUACUAAUAGACCCUUGGUUUUCUCCUAAUUUAAUUAUUUCAAGUCAAGCAAAAUUGGGCAAUUUUCUUUCAGGAAAAAAAAAAUAUUGAGCAUGAUUUUGAGGUAAAACUGAUUAUUUACAGCAUCUUUUCUCUAAUAGGCUAACAUUUAUGAUGGAUCUUAUUUCAAAGUUGAUUAUUCUCAAAGAAAAGUGGAGAUAUUAGAAUUUCCGAGUAAAUUGCAUUGUUUUAAAAAGUACUUUAAUGCAUUGUUCACAUUGUUGCCAGCUAUUGACCAAAAAAGAGAAGAAGAAAAAAGAAAUAAAAAAAGCAGUAUCUGCUCCAAACGUCAAGUUUUGCAGUUUGAAAGACUUGUACAUUAUAAUUGUUUUUUUCUUUUUUGGAAAGCAGUAGUAAUUAAUACCAAAGGCAUAGACAAUUUAGGGCCAUAACCUCCCUUCCCCCCUCUCCACCUUUUUUUUUUUUUUUUUUUUUUUUUAACUUUAACCAUGAUAGGCAUCUCUGCAAGGUAGGUUUUAACAUAUUUUUUUCCUAAUUUUUUUCCCUCCAUUCAGUAAGAAGGAUAAGCUUUUAGAGUACCCAGUCACCGUGGUAACUGCCAAAAAAAUUCUCCUGAAGUUUGAAGAGGUCAGCUAGCAGGGUCAACAACCCUGGCCUCUCUCUGAGCUCGGUCUAGCAUGCCCCAGCCUGCGGUUGGAGUGUCAGGCCAGAUCUGACCCUGGGAGGUGGACCAUUCUGGCUCUGAUAUAAAUUUUUCGAGUCAGUUCAUGGCCUGGACUCUCCAGGUGGCCUCCAAAAUCGAUUUUGACCCCCUGACCCUGUCUCACGGAGGCAUAGCAUCCACCCUAAGUAAGGAUUUAGCCAGGAAUGACAGCUUUCCACUGAGUGUUAUUGGGGACAGUAUAAACAGUUUGGAAAGCAAGUAAGGAGGUGUGAGGGCUAGCAAUCAUUAAAAGCACAUUAAAAAACAAUUUUUAAAAAUCUUUAUUAGAGAAAGUUGUAAAUGCAUAUCUGUUACAGAAUUCCUGUGAUUUGUAGAGUUUUCUAGUCAGUUUUGAAUAUAAAUAGGUCACAUAUCUUUAUCUUUUUGCAUACUUUGUUACAAAUAUGCAAAUAAGAUAGGCAUACUUGCUACAAAAUAGGUACAGCAGGAAUGUAAUAUGUUCAGAAAAGGCAAACUGGUUAUUAAAACACAUUAACAGGUAAGGAGUUUCUAAUAUUUUAAAUACUAAAAUUUUACAUGUGUAUUUUGAAGUUUUUAAAAUGGAAAAAUAAAGAACCUUUAAAAAACCCAACAGUGUGGAAUAAAGAUAAACUUGUUGCACUCAAGGUACAUUUCUACUUUGUAAAGCAAGAAGCCAAUACACUCAGUUGGAUAAAAAUGAGAGAAAAAUUGUAAAUAUAGAGAGUUACAGCUUAUAGAGCUGAAGAGGAAUAAAACAAAAAAAAGUGUCUCUGAAUAACUUUAUGUAUUUUCAACAGUUUAAGAUAUCAGAAACUUGGAAAAUAAAUAUGAUAUAUAUAUAAAUCAUCA